rnacentral:rRNA from 1 species
CAGUCGCCGCGGUAAUACGAAGGGGGCUAGCGUUGUUCGGAUUAACUGGGCGUAAAGGGCGCGUAGGCGGGUUUUUAAGUCAGAGGUGAAAUCCCAAGGCUCAACCUUGGAACUGCCUUUGAUACUGGAAGUCUUGAGUCCGGGAGAGGUGAGUGGAACUGCGAGUGUAGAGGUGAAAUUCGUAGAUAUUCGCAAGAACACCAGUGGCGAAGGCGGCUCACUGGCCCGGUACUGACGCUGAGGCGCGAAAGCGUGGGGAGCAAACAGGAUUAGAUACCCGUGUAGUCCCUGUCUCUUAUAC